rnacentral:tRNA from 1 species
GCCAGUAUAGCUCAGUUGGCCAGAGCAGCUGAUUUGUAAUCAGCAGGUCGUGGGUUCGAAUCCCUCUACUGGCUCCA